CUUGACUGUGAACACGAACGGUUCAGCGGCUCACGAGUCGACACACAGUAAGGAAGAGAAGGCUGCAUGUCCCAGUAUGGUGCCUCUGCCUGAGGCCUCGGAGUGAAGGAGCGCUCUGCAGUGUGUGUGUGUGUGCAGUGCAUGGAGCUCUCACGAGGGUCUCUGUCGAUGGGGCUGAAGGCCUGGAUGGCCGAGGGACGCUUGGGUUCUCGGAGCGAUCGGGCCCCUGCCCCGUCCCCCUGGACCCUCCCGCUGCUGUGGAACUGGAAGCUGCAUAAGUGAGUCCAGACCCAGAGCAGCACCUCUAGUGUUCACUCCUCUCACGUGAGUGCGAUACAGUGCAGCCUGACGGCCGCUGGAGCUCGUCCCGUGCAGAACACGAUGGUCUGAGUGAACUGGGCUUGCUGAUGGGUUGAGGACGCUUCAGUCACUUCAGCAUGUUUCCGGAUGUCAGAUGAAGGCAGUUUCUCCUCACUUCUAUACUUCUUUUCCUUUUUUAACAGUACUGUAAGUGAAUGCAUCUGUAUGCAUUUCAUGUUUUAUUUGUGGUUUUGCACAUUACCUUGAAAUCCAGCUAUUUUGAAAGCUUUUUUAGUACUUUAUUUACAUCCCUUUUUUUGGAUUUGCUGAAAUGAAAUCAAGCAGCAUAAUGCUCCCAGCACGUUAGUGUAACACUAUCCUGUUUUGUUUUUUUAGAAGCAAAAUGAUUGACUUCCAAACUUUAGGAUUACUUUUAUGAAUGUAAAUAUGGCGAUCGAGUUCACAGCAAAGGUGCACAAGGUGUUUAGAAAGAUGCAAGGCAGAUUUGUUUGGCAUGUUUUAGCAGCUAAUUUAAUUUGAUGGCUUUCAUUGCACACGUCCUGCACUGCAUUUUAAUGACCAACAGCAAAAAAAAAA